rnacentral:rRNA from 1 species
CAGCAGCCGCGGUAAUACGUAGGUGGCAAGCGUUGUCCGGAAUUAUUGGGCGUAAAGGGCUCGCAGGCGGUUUCUUAAGUCUGAUGUGAAAGCCCCCGGCUCAACCGGGGAGGGUCAUUGGAAACUGGGAAACUUGAGUGCAGAAGAGGAGAGUGGAAUUCCACGUGUAGCGGUGAAAUGCGUAGAGAUGUGGAGGAACACCAGUGGCGAAGGCGACUCCCUGGUCUGUAACUGACGCUGAGGAGCGAAAGCGUGGGGAGCGAACAGGAUUAGAUACCCCUGUAGUCCCUGUCUCUUAUAC